CCACUCCCCUCGUCCUUUCUUUCUUCGGACCGUCGUCUGGGGAGUGGUUUGGAGGGACCUUUUGUGCGGCGCAAUCUGAUUAGGUCUCGGGAUGUCGAGUGGGUAGUAACCACACGUGCCUUUCACUUCCUUUCGGCGUCCUUCGCUCUUCUCCCUCCCUCCCUUCUUAGUCGGCGCCUGUCGAGAGGGUGUGGGAGGGGAGGAGCAGAGAGUCGGUCGUCAUAAUUAGGGGAGGAAGGGGAAGGGAGGGAACUUCGUGUGUACUCGGCGAGACUAAGAAGAAGUUCGAGCCGGAGCCGCAUCCUGUCCGGGAGGAGUGGAAGGCGGCGGUGGUUUGCGAAGAACCACCCUGUUCGUUCCUUAACGGCCUUUUCGGAGAAGGGACGGGGGGCAAGAGAAGAAGAAAUUGAUCGGAACCGCUAACGGAUCGCCAAGUGUUCCCGCCUCGGCCUGCCUCUCCACGACCCCUAGCUCUCCUACUACCGCCCCGCCCAGAACCAACGGUAACGCCAAGAACGCCGCCGCCGCCGCGACAAACAACGCCGCCUCCGGGUCGUCCGCGGCCGCGUCGUCCCGGUGGUCUGUCUCUCCUAGAGUCCCUCACGACCACUACACGACCUGCUACUGGGACAACCCUCCGAGUUCCACAAAUAGAUACUAGAGGGACCUUUUAUGUUGUUCUUCGACGACUUCUUUCUGGGAGCCACGGACUUGGUGUACAAGCGGCGCCUCUAGAAGUACGUGGCCAAGGACGACAGCUCGCGCAGAGGUGCGUACUACGCCUCGCGCUAACUCGACUAGCGCUGCUUUACCGGAAUGACCUUAUCUAGUCUCCCCCGUCUAGUAAAGAAACAGUGUGGUGUACUGAAACCGCGAACGAAGGUAAUAGUCCUUCUCUUUCGUUAACCUGCUCCUUAGGAAGGGAACGAAGUCGCACGAUGUGACCAAGUCUGGAAACCUGUUUUCUUGGUACAGACGAACUUCCUUCCGAGGUAGUGUUAAGGCGGUAAACGCGGAGGCGUCUUUUACGUUUUAGUGGAAUAAGGGCCUCUCUGGGGAGCUAGGUAGAAGCAUAUGAAGGCACCAGACAAGAUGCUGUGGCCGUUACUAGGGCUCCCACCUAUGAUGCGUUCUCCACGAGCACGUAGACAGACCCUCUUGAAGUUCUUGUUGGGCGACAAGCUGUAGAGUUGGCUAGUGGGUGGCUGCAUGAUGCUUCUAUACGUCUCCAGACACAAGACGGAUACGGGUAACCCGACCCGAGGUACCUCGGGGUCCGACCACCUUCGGCACCAAAAGCCGACGUAGGGCCACUAGUAGCGUCUGCUGUAGCAGGAGGGGAAGCGCCUGCGGUAGGGUACCCUCCUCUAGCCGCACAAACAAGGGCUCCUCCUGCAGGGUUCCGACCUGUCGUAGGACUGUAGGUAAGGCUGUCUCCUGUAUGACUCCUUCGUUUCCGAAGAGCGUUUGGGAAGCUACUUCGUCCGGUACGACAAGGGGGUCGGUCGAGUUCGUCCUCUACGUAAGGUAGUCUAUGACUUGCCCGAGCGAGCGUUCGAAGGCGUACCGCUUCUACAGAAGAACUUCGGGCCGGUCCAGGCGGACUUGACCUGGCGACCGGGCCACCCACUGGACUUCGGCACCAUCGUAGAGAGCGUAGCGCCAAACCUCUACAUAUUUUUGGAAAAACUUUUAUUUGUAAAAGUCUGGACUAUAUGAAACGCGGAAAUAUGGUGGUACCAACGUGUCACGACUGGUAUUCAGUUUACAUGUAGAAAAAGUAGAAGAAACGACUAUCGAUCAUAUGGUAUCUCGAAGUAGAAAAGAAGAAGAAGAAGAAGAAGAAGAAGAAGAAGAAAAAGUAAUCAACUACUUUUUACAGUUGGUAACACGUGAAACAACCAAUAUACACCUAUAGCAUUACCUUUAACGUUCUAAAUUUAGG
rnacentral:rRNA from 1 species